rnacentral:rRNA from 1 species
UGGGGGAUAUUGCACAAUGGGCGAAAGCCUGAUGCAGCGACGCCGCGUGGGGGAUGAAGGCCUUCGGGUUGUAAACUUCUUUUGCUCUGAACAAGGCGCACCAUGGGGUGUGUUGAGUGUAGGGGUUGAUUAGCGCCGGCUAACUACGUGCCAGCAGCCGCGGUAAUACGUAGGGCGCGAGCGUUGUCCGGAAUUAUUGGGCGUAAAGGGCUUGUAGGUGGCUGGUUGCGUCUGUCGUGAAAGCUCCUGGCUUAACUGUGGGUUUGCGGUGGGUACGGGCUGGCUUGAGUGCAGUAGGGGAGGCUGGAAUUCCUGGUGUAGCGGUGGAAUGCGCAGAUAUCAGGAGGAAUACCGGUGGCGAAGGCGGGUCUCUGGGCUGUUACUGACACUGAGGAGCGAAAGCAUGGGGAGCGAACAGG